GCCCCACUGCGGCUCACUUAUGUUUGUUUAUAGACCAAAUGGGCCUGCGUUUGCUGUUGGUUUAACCCUGCCCCCACUCCCAACUCCUCCCACCCCCACCCUCGGGCCCAUGCUCUGUCGACACUUGGACCCCCGAGAUCCCUCUGCCCAGCCUCCUGAGCCCGGUGUACAGCCCAUAGCCCACACAGUGCCCAGCUGGAGUUUGGCAGCAUCUGCUGGAGGUAAGGACCGGUCCUCCAAGGGUAACAUUCCCUCCCAUCAGUUCCUGUUGGGGUUGGAGCACAGGCCUGAGGGAGCCUAACCGUCAGCCUUGGAAUCCAGCUGUUCCUCCUCCUGCCCUGUGACCCCAGGCAAGUUCCUUCUCCUCUCAGUGCCUGCCUUCCUGUCGGUAACAUGGGGAGUGAAGGGUGGGGAGGGUAGGAGCAGGGUUGUAGUGAGGACUUCUAGCUCAGAGUACUUAGAGCAGAGCCAAGUGCUCAACAGCAACGAGUAGCUCCUAUUAUUACUAUUAUUAUUGCUGUUAGUCUUAGUGCUCCUUUGUGAAGCCUGAGCACUAGAGUCCUGAUCUUCGGCCCCCCAGGGGGUCUGAGCAGGGAUGAAGACCACCUCCCCUCCUGGCCGGAUCCAAAGCCAGCCUCCCCCAGUCAACCCCCGGGGUGGGUCCCAUGCUGAUUGGACCAGAUAAGGUAGGGGACAGUUUUGGGGGCAGAGGCUGUCCUAUUCCUUCUCCCACCAUGGGCCCCACUCUGGGGAAGAAUCAUAUUGCUCUUUGCUGUAAACAGACAGUUCUUGAAACGGGGGGCGGGGUGUGACAAAGCCUGGCCCUGUGUGUGGUCCACAGAGAGAUGGCGGGCCUCGCUGCCCAAUGCCAGGAACUGUUUGUGCUCUGCAGGCCAGCCUCUCUCCCCGCCCAGCCCCACCUUCCCACGGCCACAUCCACAGCCCCCAGGAGGUGUGCGAGACACCUCCAGGCAGAGGGUGGGGGCCCCUCGGGUCCUGAGGCUGAGGAGGCUGGCCUUCCGCUUCAGGCUGCCAUGUUCUCCAUUUUUUUCUUCAUUUGUCCCUAUGUAUCUGAAACGCACACAUUUCACUGCAAGUUCAGUCUCCUGCCACAGUCCUCAUGGAAAUACAAGAAUUUCUAGACAACAAGAUUUCUAGAUACAAGAUUUCUACCUGGAUACCAUAACUUUGUUCCAUCGCUUCCUGGGACACGUUACUGGGCCCCUUCCAUCAACUUUACCGAGGGGUGCUGUACCUGAUUUCUCUUUCCCAGUUCCUGGCUUCUUCUCCAUCCCCCUCCUGCCCCACCCCAGCCCCCAGCCCAGUGGUCCCAUGGCCUCUCCUUUAUUCCUCACCUCUGCCCUGUGGUCCUGUUUUCUCCCCCGAAGCUGGCCCUGCAGGAGACUUCCUGUUCCCAGGGUCUGGCACAGGCUGACCGUCGCCAGGGGCAGGGGGAGGCCCAGUCUAUGGACCAUUCCUGGGACCUUGACAUCACAACAAGCAAUCUGUGGGCCCUGGUUUUUAAAUGAUCUGUAAUUAAUGCUGUUUUUGUUAUUUAGCACUUUCUCAUCAAAGGGCUCAUUUAGGCCUUGCAAAACCUGACAGAUAAGGCCAAAUUUAAGGCUUCUCUUGGGAGUGGCUCCACCUGGGAGGAGUGCAAAGCUCCAGACUCCUCUGUCCACCUUGGGCUCCUGUGUCAAGUGUGAACUAAUUGCUAUGAAGGAUGGGCAACAGGAAGGGGAGAAGUUCCAUCUUCCGUUUCAGACCUGAGAGGCCUGAAGGCGUUGCCCAUGGCUGUCUCAAAGAUGAGUUCCUUUAUUCGGUUCUGAGGAUGGCCUGACCAUGGGGCCCUGGGGCCCACUGGCUGGAGGAGAGUCAAUAAUGUACCGACAGCACAGCCACAGAUCUGGCCAGACACCCCCUCUCUGAAGAGGCAACUCCCCUGUGCCUGGAGGCGAGCGUGGGUGUGGGAGGCGAGGGCUCAUGCAAUGGCAGGUGCUGAGCCUGCAGCUGAGGACGAGGGCAGAGGGGACUCCGCCCUGUCUCCUCUCCUGAUCUGGUUGGCAGCCGCCAGAAUUUUCGUCUCUGCUUGACCCCAGCCCUUCUUUCUUCCCUCCCCUCUGUGAGUCCUGGAGCUUGGAGAGCCCAGGGCUGGAAGGAGGCAUUGGUACAGGACCGUCUCCUUCCCAACCUGCUGUCUCGGGCUGUUCCCUCUGAUCUCAUCCUCCUUCUGUCCAGCUCAGUACCUCUGAAGCUGGCCGUCCUCCAAGUCUAACCUCAGAUCUCGCCUCCUCCAGGAAGACUUCCCUGAAUCUUGGCGUGGUGCUACCUCCCUUCCCAGAAUUCCUGGGGCAAAUAAAGUUUGUACCAGAAAGCUGCCACAUGCCACGUCCUCCGGUUGUGUGUGGACAUCAUUGAGACCGAUCACAAAAGCUCUGGCUCUCUCUCCUUCUGGACACUUGGAAGAGGUGUACAUCCCCGCCCACCUGAAUUCAGGCGGGGCCACGUGACUGGCCAUGUGAGUGGAAAUGGUGAGUGUCACUUCCAGGAAGAUAGUUUUAAAGUCAGUAUGUACUUUUCCAUGACAACUAUCUAAGCUCCCAAUAAUGGCUGCCUGGGUCCCUGACUGCAACAGACUGAGCCCCUGCAGAUCUGUGAUGAUGUGUAAUUGUGAGCAAAAAUUAAAACUUUGUUGUUUUAAACCACUGCAA